rnacentral:rRNA from 1 species
UACAGAGGGCUCAAGCGUUGUUCGGAUUCAUUGGGCGUAAAGGGUGUGUAGGUGGCGCGCUAAGUCGGGUGUGAAAUUUCGGAGCUUAACUCCGAAACUGCAUUCGAUACUGCCGUGCUUGAGGACUGGAGAGGAGACUGGAAUUUACGGUGUAGCGGUGAAAUGCGUAGAUAUCGUAAGGAAGACCAGUGGCGAAGGCGGGUCUCUGGACAGUUCCUGACGCUGAGGCACGAAGGUCAGGGGAGCAAACGGG